rnacentral:rRNA from 1 species
UACGAAGGGUGCUAGCGUUGCUCGGACUCACUGGGCGUAAAGGGUGCGUAGGCGGGUCUUUAAGUCAGGGGUGAAAUCCUGGAGCUCAACUCCAGAACUGCCUUUGAUACUGAGGAUCUUGAGUUCGGGAGAGGUGAGUGGAACUGCGAGUGUAGAGGUGAAAUUCGUAGAUAUUCGCAAGAACACCAGUGGCGAAGGCGGCUCACUGGCCCGAUACUGACGCUGAGGCACGAAAGCGUGGGGAGCAAACAGG